rnacentral:rRNA from 1 species
CCUACGGGGGGCUGCAGUCGAGAAUCUUCCGCAAUGGGCGCAAGCCUGACGGAGCGAUGCCGCGUGAGGGAAGAAGGCCUUCGGGUUGUAAACCUCUGUCACCCGGGACGAAAACAAUGACGGUACCGGGAGAGGAAGUCACGGCUAACUACGUGCCAGCAGCCGCGGUAAUACGUAGGUGGCGAGCGUUAUUCGGAUUCACUGGGCGUAAAGGGUCCGCAGGGGGCCUGCCAAGUCUGUCGUGAAAUCCCGGGGCUCAACCCCGGGUCUGCGGUGGAAACAGGCGGGCUAGAGUGUGUGAGGGGCAGACGGAACACCUGGUGUAGCGGUGGAAUGCGUAGAUAUCAGGUGGAACACCGAUGGCGAAGGCGGUCUGCUGGCACACAACUGACCCUCAGGGACGAAAGCGUGGGUAGCAAACAGGAUUAGAUACCCGGGUAGUC